rnacentral:rRNA from 1 species
UACGAAGGGGGCCAGCGUUGCUCGGAAUCACUGGGCGUAAAGCGCACGUAGGCGGCUUGCUAAGUCAGGGGUGAAAUCCUGGAGCUCAACUCCAGAACUGCCCUUGAUACUGAGGAUCUUGAGUUCGGGAGAGGUGAGUGGAACUGCGAGUGUAGAGGUGAAAUUCGUAGAUAUUCGCAAGAACACCAGUGGCGAAGGCGGCUCACUGGCCCGAUACUGACGCUGAGGCACGAAAGCGUGGGGAGCAAACAGG